rnacentral:tRNA from 1 species
GCCCGGGUGGCGGAAUUGGUAGACGCAGCGCACUCAAAAUGCGCCGCCGAAAGGUGUGCCGGUUCGAGUCCGGCCCCGGGCACCA